rnacentral:misc_RNA from 1 species
ACGAAUAUCUAUGGCGUUGGUUGUAGCUGGCUCCUAGGAGCAUCUUGUGCACGCCCGUCAUUCAUAUCAUCUUUCCACCUGUGAACCAUGUGUAGGCCUGGAUACCCCUCGCUUUGGCAUCAAAGCGGAUGCAAGGAUUGCUGCGUCGACAAGGCCGGCUCUCUUUUGAAUUUCCAGGUUCUACGUCUUUUACACACCCCAUUUGAAUGAUGUAGAAUGUAGUCAAUGGGCUUUCGUGCCUAUAAAACACUUAUA